rnacentral:rRNA from 1 species
CCUACGGGAGGCAGCAGUCGAGAAUCAUUCACAAUGGGGGAAACCCUGAUGGGGCGACGCCGCGUGGGGGAAUGAAGGUCUGCGGAUUGUAAACCCCUGUCAUGGGGGAGCAAAGUAAAAAGAGAGUACCACAAGAGGAAGAGACGGCGAACGCUGUGCCAGCAGCCGCGGUAAGACAGAGGCCUCAAGCGUUGUUCGGAACCACUGGGCGUAAAGCGUGCGUAGGCUUUUUCGUAAGUCGUGUGUGAAGGGCGCGGGCUCCACCCGCGGAGGGCACAUGAUACUGCGAGACUAGAGUAAUGGUGGGGGAACCGGACUUCUCGGUGUAGCCG